UUCUGUUGGUUGUGGGAACCCUGAGGUUUUUGUCAGUAUCGCAACCACCCAAAGAAGAAGAUGGAGAUGACAUAGAAGAAGAAGAAAGCAAAAAGAAGAAAUAGAGAGACCUGAAAAGG
rnacentral:ribozyme from 1 species